GAUCAGACAACCCGCGAGGAUAUCAAAGAAACUUUCUCCCUUGAAACUUUCAAAGUUAGAUGGGUUGAUUUCAGCAUUGGUGAUAAAGAGGGGUUCAUUCGCUAUGAGAAUGAUGGUGAUGCCGAAAAGGUAUUGAAAGUUGUACUGGAGAAAAAUGAAAAUGAAGUAAACUUACGUGGUGUAGAAACAACUCUACGUGUGAUCGAAGGAGAUGAAGAGAAGGAUUACUGGAAGAAGUCGAAAGAGGAGUUUGACAAACAUCGUCAGAGAAAUAAGAGAUGUUUGAGGAAAGAGACAACAACACUGGAAACAUGGCAAACGAGGUAGACAUGAUGGCCAUUCAAAUGAUGAACCACCUGUAAAACAAGCUAAGCCAGACACCUAAGUAUAUCUAACAGUACUAUUUAUACAAAGUACCACUGUAUGACUAAAAUGUCCACAGUAUUUUGAGCACUGAGUCUGUCGUUUGGUAGAAUUUGUCAAGUGUUGUUCAUGUUGUGUUUUAUAUACCAAUAUGAAAUAAUGCAACUUGUUGUGAAUAUGAUUCUACACAAUUUGAAAUAAUUAUUUCAUAUUUUGUAACAAGAUAUAUAUAAAUGUUGCUUUACAACUAGUAUCCUUCAUUGGAAAAUGUUAUAGAUUUAUAUGAUGGGAAAAACUUCUUAAGUAUUCCUGUU